rnacentral:misc_RNA from 1 species
GAUGAAGAACGCAGCGAAAUGCGAUACUUGGUGUGAAUUGCAGAAUCCCGCGAAUCAUCGAGUUUUUGAACGCAAGUUGCGCCCGAAGCCAUUCGGCCGAAGGCACGUCUGCCUGGGUGUCACGCAUCGUUGCCCCCCCAAACUCCGGUUCGGGCAGGGCGGAAGUUGGCCUCCCGUGCGUGCCUGCGCGCGCGGUUAGCCCAAAAGCGAGUCCUCGGCGACGAGCGCCACGACAAUCGGUGGUUUUUUUACCCUCGUUCCUCGUCGUGCGUGCCCCGUCGCCCGAACGCGCUCUUGCGACCCUUACGCGUCGCCUCGGCGGCGCUCCCAACGCGACCCCAGGUCAGGCGGGACUACCCGCUGAGUUUAAGCAUAUCAAUAAGCGGAGGA